CCCGCCUUAGCUCAACGGUAGAGCGGCCCGCUGUAGACGGGCAGGUUACUAGUUCGAAUCUGGUAGGCGGGA
rnacentral:tRNA from 1 species